rnacentral:rRNA from 1 species
AACGAACGCUGGCGGCAUGCCUAACACAUGCAAGUCGAACGAGACCUUCGGGUCUAGUGGCGCACGGGUGCGUAACGCGUGGGAACCUGCCCUUAGGUUCGGAAUAACUCCCCGAAAGGGGUGCUAAUACCGGAUAAUGUCUUCGGACCAAAGAUUUAUCGCCUUUGGAUGGGCCCGCGUUGGAUUAGCUAGUUGGUAGGGUAAAAGCCUACCAAGGCGACGAUCCAUAGCUGGUCUGAGAGGAUGAUCAGCCACACUGGGACUGAGACACGGCCCAGACUCCUACGGAGGGCAGCAGGGGGGAAUAUUGGACAAUGGGCGAAGGCCUAAUCCAGCAAGGCCGCGUGAGUGAUGAAGGCCUUAGGGUUGUAAAGCUCUUUUACCCGGGAUGAUAAUGACAGUACCGGGAGAAUAAGCUCCGGCUAACUCCGU